rnacentral:rRNA from 1 species
CUUGCCAUCGGAUGUGCCCAGAUGGGAUUAGCUAGUAGGCGGGGUAAUGGCCCACCUAGGCGACGAUCCCUAGCUGGUCUGAGAGGAUGACCAGCCACACUGGAACUGAGACACGGUCCAGACUCCUACGGGAGGCAGCAGUGGGGAAUAUUGCACAAUGGGCGCAAGCCUGAUGCAGCCAUGCCGCGUGUAUGAAGAAGGCCUUCGGGUUGUAAAGUACUUUCAGCGAGGAGGAAGGCGUUGUGGUUAAUAACCGCAGCGAUUGACGUUACUCGCAGAAGAAGCACCGGCUAACUCCGUGCCAGCAGCCGCGGUAAUACGGAGGGUGCAAGCGUUAAUCGGAAUUACUGGGCGUAAAGCGCUCGCAGGCGGUCUGUCAAGUCGGAUGUGAAAUCCCCGGGCUCAACCUGGGAACUGCAUUCGAAACUGGCAGGCUAGAGUCUUGUAGAGGGGGGUAGAAAUCCAGGUGUAGCGGUGAAAUGCGUAGAGAUCUGGAGGAAUACCGGUGGCGAAGGCGGCCCCCUGGAUAGAGACUGACGCUCAGGUGCGAAAGCGUGGGGAGCAACAGGAUUAGAUACCCUGGUAGUCCACGCCGUAGACGAUGUCGACUUGGAGGUUGUGCCCUUGAGGCGUGGCUUCCGGAGCUAACGCGUUAAGUCGACCGCCUGGGGAGUACGGCCGCAAGGUUAAAACUCAAAUGAAUUGACGGGGGCCCGCACAAGCGGUGGAGCAUGUGGUUUAAUUCGAUGCAACGCGAGGAACCUUACCUACUCUUGACAUCCAGAGAACUUAGCAGAGAU